rnacentral:misc_RNA from 1 species
UUUCCGUAGGUGAACCUGCGGAAGGAUCAUUACAGAUUUCAUGCCCUCACGGGUAGAUCUCCCACCCUUGAAUAUUUAUACCUUAGUUGCUUUGGCAGGCCGUGGAAACACCAUGGGCUCCGGCUUAUGCGUUCCUGCCAGAGGAAACAAACUCUGUUUUUAGUGAUGUCUGAGUACUAUAUUAUAGUUAAAACUUUCAACAACGGAUCUCUUGGUUCUG